rnacentral:rRNA from 1 species
CCUGCCAGUAGUUAUAUGCUCGUCUUAAAGAUUAAGCCAUGCAUGUGUAAGAGCAGCUAACAACGGGAAUCCGUUGGAAAGUGAAUCUGCGAAUAGCUCCGUAAACGAGCAAUAAGCUACCUGAGAGUAUGACAAGGAUAACGCAACCAAAUGUAGCGAUAAUACUUGCAACAAAAUGUAGUAGCCAUUUGAAUGCGCACUACAGUCACCCUUCGGGUGCGAUAAACCAACAAAUCGGUCUCUCAGACGCGUUUCUUAUCUAUUAGUUUGUUGGUUGGGUAAGUGCCAACCAAGACAGUUAUGGAUACGGGGAAUCAGUGUUCGGUUCCGGAGAGGGAGCCUUAAAAAUAGCUACCAUAUCCAAGGAUAGCAGCAGGCGCGAAAAUUACUCACUUCUAAUACCUAAGAGAAGUAGUGACGAGAUAUAACGACUCCCCUCAAGGGGAGGUACCAUCUUUAAGGUGGUUGGGAAUGGUUUCAAUGUAAACUGUUGUGAGAGUAUCAAUUAGAGGAAAAGUCUGGUGCCAGCACCCGCGGUAAUUCCAGCUCUAAGAGUGUAUACUAAUACUGCUGUAGUUAAAUCGUUCGUAGUCCACAUGUACAAAAGCGUUGUUUCUGGCUCGUGUUUCUCCAAACUCAACCUCCCUUCGGGGUUGGAAGAGUGGCCUUCGUGCCAGGGGAUUCACUCUAACGCACAAAAGAUCUUCGGAUCUUGCGGGGUCUGUUAACUUCGUCGAGUAAAUUUCAACCCUGAAAAAAUCGGAGUAUUCAUUACAGGCAUUUUGCUUGAACACAAAAGCAUGGCAAGGUGAAAUUCGUUGAUUGAUUGAGGACAAACUAAUGCGAAGGCUGUUGUCAGGUCCACUACAUUCCUAUAGAUCAGGAACGAAAGCCAAGGGAUCGAAGAUGAUUAGAUACCGUCGUAGUCUUGGCUGUAAACUAUGCUAUCAGAGGAUUGGACGA